AUCAUCUCCUCCUUCGUCCCCUGGUGCUCCCUCCCGCCUCCUGGAUGGAUUUAUUUUUCUCCUCUAUUGGGUUUAUUCUGCUGCUUUUCCGCUCCUUCGCCUUUAGGUCUCUGUUUUAUUCCCGUCCUUUCUCCGACAGGCCCAGUGCUCCAGGGAUCAAAUUCUUCAUUAAAUCAGAACAGAUCUGACAGCGUAAUUUGAUGACUUCAGUAGAUUCACUCAUCUGCUUCACAUGGAGGCUUUGUGCCUCAUUGUACCGAUGCCCCACUCACUUCCGCUGGAGACAACACAACAGCAGUAAAUCUGACCAUCCUCCGCUCAAAUUAAAGGCGGCUGGACUCGACAGCGUCAUCAUCGCAGCCCAUCACGGAGCCAGUGGUCUGUGGACACGCACUGUUGCUGUCCGACUGACAGCGUUGUGUCAGUCCGAACUGUGUGAACGAGAGCAGCACGCGAUCAAAGGAGAUUUAUUCAGAAACCCCUCCGUGUGUUAACGCGCCGUUUGACCUGUGGCCAGAAAAUGUGGUUCUUUUAAAUGUCCCACACGUAAAGCAAAGCUCCGCUCUUUGGAUUUCAGCACUUCUUGGCAAAUCUGUACACAAUAAGCUGAAGAGGACUCCUUUAGGAACAGAUGGGGACCGAGAAAGAGCAGAGGAUCAGCGCCGCGCCGCGCGCAGAACCCACAGGACCCGAGAGCAACGGGAGCCGGAGAACCGACCGAGGAACACCUUUUUUGUGGAAGUCUGUAACAGCAAGUGUCUGAAAAUGGCCCGAGGCAAAAACAGAUUGUUGAGCUAACAAGCAUACGGAGGAAUUCCAGAUAACCUCACCGCGUGUCCACCGCUGCAGGAGCAAGGUCAGCGGAGGAUGGAGUCGCAGGGCCUUCCUUCAUGUACAGUACGUCACCCUCGCACACGCUCCUCACGUCCGCGCUAUGACGCGCUUGUCCAGUAGUUCCAGGUGACCGGUUGCCGUGGGUUGUUGUUUAUGCGCACAAACCCAUCCGCAUACAGUGCACUCGUUGCUGUUCAUCUCUCGGCACCCGUUCGUAUUUGUCAAAGCAACCGACACACACUGCGACCGGAGAGCCGGUGGCGCCGCUUAUCGUCUGCAUCACCCAGUCAGGAGCAGCCUUCGUUGGCCCGAUGUCCAAUCCUUGGCAAGAUUAAAAACAGUCAACAACAAUAACAGCUCCAGCAUAUGGCUAUUAAAUCAAAAAGGUGCUCAUGCAUCACAAGGAAAACUAGAUUUCUAUCGUUAUUAUCAACACCACGCGGCUGCUUCAGGGGCUCGUUUUAGCGAACGUCAUUUCCCAACAGAUUGGGCCGAGCGAUGGGCUGAGAGUGGAACGAACGGAGAUGCUAAUGGGAAGACGGGGCGCGGUGCGCGGAGGACGUGCACGCUUCUGAGCACGGAUGCACAAACACGGCAAGUGGAAAAUGAGCGCCGCUGAUGGUUCCCGGUGUUGCGGAACAAAACAAAGACGCGGCUCCAGCUGCAGCAGACUCCAGUAAAGCCGGGCGCUUGGAAACAAGGUGGGGGAAGGAAGCUGGUGGACGGAGGACGGAGCCGCGCUCAUUACGGCGCCGCGCAUUCCAGGGAAGUGAGAGAUGAGCCCGGGGGCCCGGUGCAGCUGACAGCAGCUGCAGAUUCCCGGCCCCGCGAGGCCGGCGCCGGUGCCGGAGCCGGAGACGCAAUCGAAGGCGGGCGGAGAUGAGAGGGGCUCUGUGUGGGAUUAGGCUCUGCAGGGGGGCUUCCGGGACGGGCGGGGAGGCGCGAGUGUGGAUGUGGAGAGGGUGGUAAUGCC